UUUGUACUCCCUCCGUCCCAAAAUUCUUGUCUUAAAUUUGUCUAAAUACGGAUGUAUCUAGUUACAUUUUAGUGUUAGAUACAUCCGUAUAUAAACAAAUGUAAGACAAGAAUUUUGGGACGGAGGGAAUACUAC
rnacentral:pre_miRNA from 1 species